rnacentral:lncRNA from 10 species
UGGCGGUUCGCUGCAUCCAUCAGCCCAUCAUCUACAUUAGGAAGUCACCAAAGCAGUACAGCCUCUCUUACUGGGAAGAAUCAUAGCUUCCUAUGACCCGGAUAACAAGGAGGAACGCUCUAUCGCGAUUUAUCUAGGCAUAGGCUUAUGCCUUCUCUUUAUUGUGAGGACACUGCUCCUACACCCAGCCAUUUUUGGCCUUCAUCACAUUGGAAUGCAGAUGAGAAUAGCUAUGUUUAGUUUGAUUUAUAAGAAGACUUUAAAGCUGUCAAGCCGUGUUCUAGAUAAAAUAAGUAUUGGACAACUUGUUAGUCUCCUUUCCAACAACCUGAACAAAUUUGAUGAAGGACUUGCAUUGGCACAUUUCGUGUGGAUCGCUCCUUUGCAAGUGGCACUCCUCAUGGGGCUAAUCUGGGAGUUGUUACAGGCGUCUGCCUUCUGUGGACUUGGUUUCCUGAUAGUCCUUGCCCUUUUUCAGGCUGGGCUAGGGAGAAUGAUGAUGAAGUACAG